UACGUAGGGCGUAAGCGUUAUCCGGAAUUAUUGGGCGUAAAGAGCUCGUAGGCGGUUUGUCGCGUCUGCCGUGAAAGUCCGGGGCUCAACUCCGGAUCUGCGGUGGGUACGGGCAGACUAGAGUGAUGUAGGGGAGACUGGAAUUCCUGGUGUAGCGGUGAAAUGCGCAGAUAUCAGGAGGAACACCGAUGGCGAAGGCAGGUCUCUGGGCAUUAACUGACGCUGAGGAGCGAAAGCAUGGGGAGCGAACAGG
rnacentral:rRNA from 1 species